rnacentral:lncRNA from 1 species
GGAAAACAGCCGCAAUCAUCUCCACCCAGCCUCUAACGUGCGCGCCGCUAUUAAUGCCCAUCGCUCCGCAAUCUUCUCACAUUCCCAUCGCAUACCUUUCCUUCUCCCCUCCAGCCGCGCUACACAUCUUCUACGCAAGCUGCAACCCAUCAAGCCCUUCAUCAGAAAUCUUAUCAUGUCUACCGUACGGCGCGGCGGCCGGGAUCCCAUGUGCUCCUCCGGCAUGACUGCCGAUCUGGCUCUCCUCCGCGGCACUCCGGGAUUCUCUUGGGCUACGUCCCCCUUGCUGGUGUGGUGCAUGCAUCGUAAGAGGCGGUGCCCUGGUCCUCCCGUCCCGUCUAUGUCUCUGUUUCAUCCACGGUAGCUCCGGCGCUGCUCCUCCACUGGCCGUCUGCACUACUCAAGCCAGCUGCAACCUCUUCUUGCAUCCACCGUCCAGACAGUUGUCGCCUCCCUUCCCCGUUCAUGGCCCAAGCUUGCCGCACAACCCCAUUGCGGCUGCCUCAUCAGUUACAUCAGGCCACCCCAUGCAUGUUGACAUCGUGUAGAGAUGCUUCUACUACACACUCCAGGUAUGCUGUGGAUUUCCCCCUUUUGACUAUUUCCAAAAAAUUAAGUGAUCAAGAUUGGUUCUUUACUGUCGCAAUUUCUCUUUUGAUUCCUAUAAUAUCUCUAUUCCUCUUCGUCAUAGUGUCUUUAUCCAUCAUCUUUCUUUUCUGUUAUUUUUUGGGAUGGCUCCGUGUACAUGUGUCCCUUGAUUUUGCAGCAGGCCGCACCUACUUCUACUACCGCAUGAAGGUAUACGCACUGAUGUUUCAUCCUGUUUUUGAUCUUUCAAGCCCAUGCUGCAUUCUAAUUUCUUCCCCUUCCCUUACUGUUGUGCAUCAGGAUGUUCCAUAUCCCUGCCUCUUUAUCUGCAUUCAACCUUCCGACCACUGCAUUUUUAUUCGUCUACAGAGAUCAAUAUUGCACUGUAUGACCAGAUCAUGUGCUCAAGAUUUUUAUGGUUAAUGUUGUCACUUUGUGAUUAUCUCUAUACUACAAUCUGUAUUAUUUUCGCAAUAAUUACAAUGGUUUGUUCGUUUUAUUCCUGCAAGUGUACGUGCAUUCUAGGCAUUCCCUUAUAUUUUACCCAAAUCAAUAUGACCUCACUGACGACCGAUGAGCUUCUGUGCUCUUCAAUCAGUAUGCCACAUGCGAAUGACUGAUGAAGAUUUUCUCUACUCUUAAAUCCGAGUGAUCUUAAUAUUGCAAAACUUCCUUCGCUUCCAGGUUUUAUGCUUCAACUUAUAAUGCAUGUACUUAGUAUAAAGGUUAGUACUGCAAAACUUUCUUCACUUUCAGUCUCGGUGCCGCCUACGAGCACCUCAACCUGCACAAAGAUUGGGAGAAAAGGAUGGCAAUCAAUUUCCUAUGAGUCAACAUGAUCAGGUAGAUAUGCAGCCGACAGAAGCAUUUGCUUGGUCAGGGGAGGAGAAGGAGAACUGUUGUGUCACACAUGAACUACACCAUGAACUACUCCUCUGCUUCGUUAGUCGGAUGCAUUAUUUUUUGCAUGCAUUGCUAAAGAAGCCCUCUAAAGAAAUUACUUUACAAAAAUGUUCAAAUCUUCUCUAAUGGUCUGCCGACAAUAAUCUUCUGUGUCAUUCAACAAACUUCUAUUUGUAAUCUCUGAUGUGUGUUGAAUGUAUCUCUAGAUAGUCACAAUAUUUUGAUGAUUGCAGGUUACUUUUUUUUAUUCGGCGAUUGAGUCUCAAUCAUUCCGAUGCUUUAGUGUUGUGACUUGUGAGUUACUUCAACAUAUAUGCACACCCGAGAGUGUUUACAAGUAUAGGCAUGUGAGCUGUCCAAGGAAGAAGAUAUUAUCUGAUGGAAUCAUCUAGCAGUUCCUGAUGGUUGUGCUCUCAAGUGCUAUUUUCCUAAUAUAUAGACGUAAGAACAUCUUCUGCUUUAAUUGUUAUAGCAUAUUGUCAUUCUUUUAUUGCUUCAGUGUUACGCCCAUAGUCUAAUUAUGUCCAGCUUUUGUGGAAUUAGAAACAGUAACUUUACUAAUCUCUCUUCACUGUCAUAGUUGACAUAUCGUACAUGCCAUUGUUUUUGGAACAAGUUAUCCUGACUUCCCAAGCCAUAAUUUUUACAAUAUUAAUUACAAUAUAAUAGACGGAAUGCUUAAUAUGCUUAUGGAAAGCUAUAUUCAGCUAUUGAACCAAAGUUCUUCACUAUGCUAAGUUUAAGAACUUACUCACUUACCUGGCAUUGUCUUAUGAAGUCAAAUGUGCUUACUACUUUAUGUCAUUUGAAACUUACUUUUCUCGCUAAUUGUUGUAUAAUAAUUUACUUCACUGAAUGUAGUAGAGGGUCAAUAAAAUUGCAGAAUUAUGAUAUAGCCUGAACUGGUAUGUUUCUGUUCUCGCCAUCAUGCACAUCUUCUUGCACACUAUUCUGUUUCUACUCUUCAAGUGCCAGCAUUGUCCUUCCUGUUAAUGUAGAUGACUGCUCGUUGUUGUCGCAAGAUGAAGAUAAGAAGUGAGAUAUGAUGCAAGUGACUAAGAAGAAGCAUUACCACCUCCAAAGGAAAUCUCCAAUGCCUAUUUGAAUUCAGGGUUUUUUAUUUGCACUUUGUUUGUCAGAUGUUUUGGUUGAGCGAAUGAUUGAGUAGUCACCGGAAGCAAGAACGCCACCAAAUAUUGAUAUAAACACAUGGUUUUGUAUUUUCCUAUAGCCAGUUGUGCAUUGUUCAGUUUUAUGAAAUGGUUUUAUUUUACCUGAGAGAUGACUGGUUAACAGUAUACCUAAAUUAUCUAUAUGUAUUUCAUUUGUCUAAUAUAUCCAGUUUGUUCUUGCUACAAUCCCCGCAGCAAUGCGCGGAGUGUCAUCUAGUUUCAUUAUAUUUACAUCAAUUAAGUAGUGCUUUUCCAACUCUGGAGGUAUAAUUAAUACACCUAAUCUAUGAUCGCCGACGCCCGUUCCCCGUGUCUGGCCAUGAGCCCUGAGAACUAAAGCUUCCUCUUCUCCAGAUUCGCCUCGGCGCUCUUCAGCUCCACCUCCGUAACAUCCGCCUCUGGAGCCUCAAGAAGUGAAGUCGUCCACCUCCAUGUCGCGCUUACUAGGGUUAGGGUUUUGUAGGAUCGAAAGUAUGUCUAGAGGGGGGAAUGGACUACUUGGUCAAAUAAAAAACUUUUUGUUUCCCAAUUUUAGUUGUGGAUAGAUUUUAGCAAUUACGACAAGCCAAGCAAUCAAUCUACACAUGCAAUUCUAAGAGUAUAGCAGCGGAUGUAAAACAUUGCAUAUGAAGGUAAAGAGAAGAGUUUGGAUAAGGCAAACACAAUGGAGACACGAAGAUUUUUUGCGUGAUUCCGACAGGUGGUGCUAUCGUACAUCCAUGUUGAUGGAGACUUCAACCCACAAAUGGUAACGGUUGCGCGAGUCCAUGGAGGGCUCCACCCACAUGAAGGGUCCAUGAAGAAGCAACCUUGUCUAUCCCACCAUAGCCAUCGCCCACGAAGGACUUGCCUCACUCGGGUAGAUCUUCACAAAGUAGGCGAUCUCCUUGCCCUUAAGAACUUCUUGGUUCAACUCCACAUCAUGUCGAAGGCUCCCAAGCGACACCUAACCAAUCUAGGAGACACCACUCUCCAAAAGGUAAUAGACGGUGUGUUGAUGAUGAACUCCUUGCUCUUGUGCUUCAAAUGAUAGUCUCCCCAACACUCAACUCUCUCUCAUAGAUUUGUCUAUGGUGGAAGACGGAUUUGAGUGGAAAGCAACUUAAGAAAGACUAGAAAUCAUGGUUCAAAUGGUAGGAAUGAAAUCUCUUGAUCUCAACACAUGAGUAGGUGGUUCUCUCUUAGAAAUGAAUGGCGGAAGUGUAGGCACGUUCUGAUGGCUCUCCUCAAUAAGAAAGGUGGAGGGGUAUAUAUAGCCUCCACACAAAAAUCUAUCUGUUACACACUUUUGACCCAUCUCGAUGGCACCGAUUAGAAAACUUGGUGGCACCAAUCAAUACAAAAAUAGGAACGUUAGGA